CCUACGGGUGGCAGCAGUGGGGAAUAUUGGACAAUGGGGGGAACCCUGACCCAGCGACGCCGCGUGAGUGAAGAAGUAUUUCGGUAUGUAAAGCUCUAUCAGCAGGGAAGAAAAUGACGGUAUCUGACUAAGAAGCCCCGGCUAACUACGUGCCAGCAGCCGCGGUAAUAUGUAGGGGGCAAGCGUUAUCCGGAUUUACUGGGUGUAAAGGGAGCGUAGACGGUGCAGCAAGGGUGAUGUGAAAGGUCGGGGCCCAACCCCGGGACUGCAUUGGAAACUGUUGAACUGGAGUACAGGAGAGGUAAGCGGAAUUCCUAGUGUAGCGGUGGAAUGCGUAGAUAUUAAGGAGGAAACCAGUGGCGGAGGCAGGUUACUGGACUGUAACUGGCGUGGGGGCUCGGAAGGGUGGGGAGCAAACAGGAUUAGGAACCCGUGUAGUC
rnacentral:rRNA from 1 species